rnacentral:rRNA from 1 species
CUACGGGGCGCUCCAGUGGGGAAUAUUGCACAAUGGGCGCCAGCCUGAUGCAGCGACGCCGCGUGAGCGAUGAAGGUUUUCGAAUCGUAAAGCUCUGUCCUCGGGGAAGAUAAUGACGGUACCCGAGAAGACAGCACCGGCUAAAUACGUGCCAGCAGCCGCGGUAAUACGUAUGGUGCAAGCGUUGUCCGGAAUUACUGGGCGUAAAGAGUUCGUAGGCGGGAAUGUAAGUCAGAAGUGAAAGGCAAUGGCUCAACCAUUGUAAGCUUUUGAAACUGCAUUUCUUGAGUAUCGGAGAGGAAAGUGGAAUUCCUAGUGUAGCGGUGAAAUGCGUAGAUAUUAGGAGGAACACCAGUGGCGAAGGCGACUUUCUGGACGAAAACUGACGCUGAGGAACGAAAGCGUGGGGAGCAAACAGGAUUAGAUACCCUUGUAGUC